CGGGCUUGACAUGUUUCUGACCGCCCUGGAAACAGGGUUUCCCUUCGGGGCAGAUUCACAGGUGGUGCAUGGCUGUCGUCAGCUCGUGUCGUGAGAUGUUGGGUUAAGUCCCGCAACGAGCGCAACCCCCGUCGUAUGUUGCCAGCAUUAAGUUGGGGACUCAUACGAGACUGCCGGUGACAAACCGGAGGAAGGUGGGGAUGACGUCAAGUCAUCAUGCCCCUUAUGUCCGGGGCUACACACGUG
rnacentral:rRNA from 1 species